CGGCGGCAGCCGCCGCCGCCUCCGCCGUACCACGCCCAGAGGCCCCGGUUGAACGCUCGCCUGCGUCCAGCGGCCUUGAUGAGAAUCAAACGUCGACCUUUCGUCCGUCGACGAUGAGCGGUGGAUGUUGAAGUGUAUGCAAAGUGAAACAGCUGCAGUCGGAUUACUGUCGCGCUCUUUGACGAUACAUGAAUGUUUCAUAAGCAAGUGUGCAUUUUUGUGUGUAAUAAAACACCACAGGGCCCGAAUACUUUCACACAGCGAUGCAGCCGCUCUUGUUAUUCUGCUCGGCUUUCAUGUUUAUUCCAGCAUUCCUCCAUGGACGAGGCUGCAGACGUGUCUCCGACUCUCACUCUUGUGUGUCCCCAUCUCUCCCAGACGCCUCCACCUCCUCCUCCUCCUCCUCUUUUUUUUUUUUUUUCUCUCUCUCUUACACUGCUGUCAAAGGCCAGACAGAGACUGGAGUUCACUGUGAGGUAAUCUCUGUAAAAAUGUGUGUGUGCAAUUAAUGUCACUGAGCAGCCUCCAUUAUCUGUGCACUUCUUCUCUCUCUCCCUCUCUCUCUCUCUCUCUCUCUGCUCCUCCCGUCUGUUUGUAGCCACAGGAGAAAAAAAAAAAAAAAUCAUCUUCAUAUCCCAGAAGAAGAAAAUCGAAUCUUCUUACCAGAUGUAAUGAAUCUGCUUUUAUCAUCCAUUAACUCCACUUAUUUGUGUUUGUGUUGCAGGAAAAUUAUAUCCCGGCCUUGAGAAGAUUAUCCACAUGUGGUAAAAAAAAAACAAAAAAAAACAAAUGUUAUUUCAUCAAGUCAAUGGGGUGAUUUUGUCUCGGGGCCAUAUUUCUGCCCGGUAACUCCACUGAUAAGUCAUCUGUGAUUUGUGUGAGCUUUUAAUCUCACUGAAGUGUUGCACAGACGCCAUUAGUGGAAAUGUCACUGUAUUUCUGCCGUCGUUUACACAGUUUUUCGUGCGUGAUUUAUUUUGACAUUAUAGGCGCAACCGGUUCAGCCGUGACUAAAUGUAAUGAAGUUCCAAAACGAGCUGAAGAAAGAACUCCAGCGCUGCUGUUUAGUCCGUACUGAGAGAAAACACCAUUUGUCUCAACAUGUGAGGAGGACGGAGUCAAAAACAAAGACAUUACAGCUAAUCACAACACAGGAAUGUCCCCCUGCUGCCGAACCGCCUUAAUGGCACACAACAUAAGACUGGAUGGGUACAUUAGCACACAAUUACCCCACGGCCGGGCUCUGGGGCUGCGCCGUGUUCAGUAACGGAGGGCGAGGCAACAAGUCAGGAGGAAAAAAAAAAACUUUUUGAAGGAAAGAAACAACAACAACAACAACAACAACAACUAGAAGUUAAACAGGUAAGUAAAGAUCAACUGUUAGCUCAACAAAAACAAAAACUCAGCUCUUUUAUCUUAUACUCUGAUGAUUUUUCACUUUAAUUAAAGUGAUUUUAUGUCUGCAGGACAUUGUUUCCCAAAGACUGGGUCGUGACCCUCAGAUGGGUCGGUCGUCUCACAUCAUGUUUCCCAAUGGUUUACAAAUCAUAUCUAUUGACUUGGGUCGCAAUAAAAACAUGGGUCCCCAGAAAAAAAAGUUUGGGAAACACUGGUGCAGGACGUGUGAACCUUCCAAAUAAUAUAAGUUAAAAUAUUCUGUGAAAACAGUGUCUCUCUGCAGGUAAGAACAACACAGCAUUUCUUUACUCUAACCUUAAAAACAAUGAUGUAUUUUACAACUUGACUUGUGAAAUGUUUGCAGGCGACAUUUUCAGUAAAUGUUGUUGGAGUGUUUGGUGUGAAUGUGUGUGUGAAUACCACGUGAAUGAGUGGCAGACACUGUAAUGAACCGAUGUCAAAGUCGCAAAAAUGUUUACGCGUUAAUUUCUUAGUAUAACAGAAGUAUAAAAAUGAGUCUCUACAUGAAAGAUAAAUAAAAACAGCGAUGGACAAAAAAAA